AGAAACUUAGGAUAACUAAAACCGAAGGCCUUCAAAGCCUUAAACAAGAGUUAAACCCUCUUAGUUUCUGCUA
rnacentral:tRNA from 2 species